UACGUAGGUGGCAAGCGUUAUCCGGAAUUAUUGGGCGUAAAGAGCGCGCAGGUGGUUAAUUAAGUCUGAUGUGAAAGCCUUCGGCUUAACCGGAGUAGUGCAUUGGAAACUGGGAGACUUGAGUGCAGAAGAGGAGAGUGGAACUCCAUGUGUAGCGGUGAAAUGCGUAGAUAUAUGGAAGAACACCAGUGGCGAAAGCGGCUCUCUGGUCUGUAACUGACGCUGAGGUUCGAAAGCGUGGGUAGCAAACAGG
rnacentral:rRNA from 1 species